UAGCAUAUCAAUAAGCGGAGGAAAAGAAACCAACAGGGAUUGCCCUAGUAACGGCGAGUGAAGCGGCAACAGCUCAAAUUUGAAAUCUGGCUUUCGGGCCCGAGUUGUAAUUUGUAGAGGAUACUUUUGAUGCGGUGCCUUCCGAGUUCCCUGGAACGGGACGCCAUAGAGGGUGAGAGCCCCGUCUGGUUGGAUGCCAAAUCUCUGUAAAGUUCCUUCGACGAGUCGAGUAGUUUGGGAAUGCUGCUCUAAAUGGGAGGUAUAUGUCUUCUAAAGCUAAAUAUUGGCCAGAGACCGAUAGCGCACAAGUAGAGUGAUCGAAAGAUGAAAAGCACUUUGAAAAGAGAGUUAAAAAGUACGUGAAAUUGUUGAAAGGGAAGCGUUUAUGACCAGACUUGGACUUGGUUAAUCAUCUGGGGUUCUCCCCAGUGCACUUUUCCAGUUCAGGCCAGCAUCAGUUUUCGCCGGGGGAUAAAGGCUUCGGGAAUGUAGCUCUCUUCGGGGAGUGUUAUAGCCCGUUGUGUAAUACCCUGGUGGAGACUGAGGUUCGCGCUUCUGCAAGGAUGCUGGCGUAAUGGUCAUCAACGACCCGUCUUGAAACACGGACCAAGGAGUCGUCUUCGUAUGCGAGUGUUCGGGUGUCAAACCCCUACGCGUAAUGAAAGUGAACGCAGGUGAGAGCUUCGGCGCAUCAUCGACCGAUCCUGAUGUUCUCGGAUGGAUUUGAGUAAGAGCAUACGGGGCCGGACCCGAAAGAAGGUGAACUAUGCCUGUAUAGGGUGAAGCCAGAGGAAACUCUGGUGGAGGCUCGCAGCGGUUCUGACGUGCAAAUCGAUCGUCAAAUAAUGGGCAUGGGGGCGAAAGACUAAUCGAACCUUCUAGUAGCUGGUU
rnacentral:rRNA from 1 species